GGGUAGUUCGAAUUGGAGUUGAACCUGGCUGGAAGAAGUCUGGAAGGGGUUCGGAGAGUAGCUGAUAGUCGUAGAAAGUCGACUAGCGGCGGAGCUCAGUGAGCGCUUAGGGCGGUUUAAUAGAUGACUGGGGGGACUCAUGUUGAAGGAGCUCGGGUGGUGUAGUGGAAGUUCGUCCGUCGGGGAAAUUCAGUCAGGGGAG
rnacentral:lncRNA from 1 species